UCACAUUAACACAAUAACUCAUUUUAUUGUUUUAACAAUACAAGUGUUCUUAUGCACCACUCAACAUUGAUCUAACUACCUAACAUCAAUCAACAAAGCUAACCAGUCGUAUAAUCCAACAUAAAAAAUAUAGAAAAUCAAGAGAAGAAAACAUCCCCACCUGUAUCAAAGAUGAACGAGAUGUAGAUCAGCAGGACAUGAAUAUCUAUAGAACACAUAUGAAGAACGAGACGACAAGCGACGGACAACGAACAACGACCAGUCGGUAUCAGCGUCGGCAAACUACGAAAAUGAACGAGACGAAAGGAGCAACAGUUGCUGGUUGGUGAGAAACAACAACAGCGGAAGCAAGGCGUCGGUGGCGGAUAUGGAACAGGGGCGAUCAGUGGUUAUGGCUCGGGC
rnacentral:lncRNA from 1 species